AACGAACGCUGGCGGCAGGCCUAAUACAUGCAAGUCGAGCGCCCUAGCAAUAGGGAGCGGCGCACGGGUGAGUAACACGUGGGAAUCUACCCUUGACUACGGAACAACGUCGGGAAACUGACGCUAAUACCGUAUAAUGACUCCGGUCCAAAGAUUUAUCGGUCAGGGAUGAGCCCGCGUUAGAUUGGGUAGUUGGUGAGGUAAUGGCUCACCAAGCCUACGAUCUAUAGCUGGUCUGAGAGGAUGAUCAGCCACACUGGAACUGAGACACGGUCCAGACUCCUACGGGAGGCAGCAGUAAGGAAUAUUGGACAAUGGGGGCAACCCUGAUCCAGCCAUGCCGCGUGAGUGACGAAGGCCUUCGGGUUGUAAAGCUCUUUCGGAUGUGAAGAUAAUGACAGUAGCAUAAGAAGAAGCUCCGGCUAAACUCGUGCCAGCCGCCGCUUAA
rnacentral:rRNA from 1 species